rnacentral:rRNA from 1 species
UACGAAGGGGGCUAGCGUUGCUCGGAAUCACUGGGCGUAAAGCGCACGUAGGCGGAUUGCUAAGUCAGGGGUGAAAUCCCGGAGCUCAACUCCAGAACUGCCUUUGAUACUGGCGACCUUGAGUCCGGGAGAGGUGAGUGGAACUGCGAGUGUAGAGGUGAAAUUCGUAGAUAUUCGCAAGAACACCAGUGGCGAAGGCGGCUUACUGGCACGGUACUGACGCUGAGGUGCGAAAGCGUGGGGAGCAAACAGG